UGGUUGUCGUCAGCUCGUGUCGUGAGAUGUUGGGUUAAGUCCCGCAACGAGCGCAACCCUUAUUGUUAGUUGCUACCAUUUAGUUGAGCACUCUAGCGAGACUGCCGUGGUUAACGCGGAGGAAGGUGGGGAUGACGUCAAAUCAUCAUGCCCCUUAUGUCUAGGGCUACACACGUGCUACAAUGGCUGGUACAAAGAGAUGCAAUACCGCGAGGUGGAGCUAAACUAUAAAACCAGUCUCAGUUCGGAUUGUAGGCUGAAACUCGCCUACAUGAAGCUGGAGUUGCUAGUAAUCGCGAAUCAGAAUGUCGCGGUGAAUACGUUCCCGGGCCUUGUACACACCGCCCGUCACACCAUGAGAGUUGGCAAUACCCAAAGUUCGUGAGCUAACCCGUAAGGGAGGCAGCGACCUAAGGUAGGGUCAGCGAUUGGGGUGAAGUCGUAACAAGGUAGCCGUAGGAGAACCUGCGGCUGGAUCACCUCCUUU
rnacentral:rRNA from 1 species